GACGAACGCUGGCGGCGUGCCUAAUACAUGCAAGUCGACCUUAGUGGCGAACGGGUGAGUAACACGUGGGUAACCUGCCCAUCAGAAGGGGAUAACAAUUGGAAACAGGUGCUAAUACCGUAUACUGAUGGAUGGACCCGCGGUGCAUUAGCUAGUUGGUGAGGUAACGGCUCACCAAGGCCACGAUGCAUAGCCGACCUGAUAGGUGGAUAGGCCACAUGGGGACUGAGACACGGCCCAAACUCUUCCUGGAGGCAGCAGGAGGGAAUCUUCGGCAAUGGACGAAAGUCUGACCGAGCAACGCCGCGUGAGUGAAGAAGGUUUUCGGAUCGUAAAACUCUGUUGUUGAGAAGCGGUAUCUACCCAGAAAGCCACGGCUAACUACGUGCCAGCAGCCGCGGUAAUUC
rnacentral:rRNA from 1 species